AUACGUAUGUCGCAAGCGUUAUCCGGAAUUAUUGGGCGUAAAGCGAGUCUAGGCGGCUUGUUAAGUCAGAUGUGAAAAUGCGGGGCUCAACUCCGUAUUGCGUUUGAAACUGGCAGGCUAGAGUACUGGAGAGGCGGGCGGAACUACAAGUGUAGAGGUGAAAUUCGUAGAUAUUUGUAGGAAUGCCGAUAGUGAAGACAGCUCACUGGACAGAUACUGACGCUAAAGCUCGAAAGCGUGGGUAGCGAACAGGAUUAGAAACCCCGGUAGUCC
rnacentral:rRNA from 1 species